UUCCCAUUAAGUGUAAUCAACUUUCAAUUCAAUCAUGACCAUUGGAUUUGGCUGAGAUUAAAUCUCAGCCACUCAAACUCACAUUUCUAACUGCUACAGCGGCGGUUCUCGUCAGUUUUUAGAUUGGAGGUUGCUCCGCCUUUUUCUGCCCAACUUCUCCACAAACCACGUUUACCCCUGGAUGGUGGGUUCAGUAAACUCCCAAGGAACUGUUUGAAGAGUGCCAUCAAGGAGGUUACAUACUCUCUCCAAAAAUGAAGUGGUUUACCUAAUUUAUCUCCUAAAAUCAUGGUAAAAACCACCCACUAUCUACAAAUCUGCAACAACUGCUUCUAUGCCUUCCUUAUAACCCACUAUGCAAUUCCCUUCAAAUCGCACCAUCCUUUCAUCUCUACAGCGCCAAAUAUACUACAUGGGCACUUUAAAAAACGAAGAUUGAUGUAAUUCUGAAAUUGCACCUUAACAAUUGAACCCUACAUCAAUGGAACAGCCACUGCCCUCGCUUUUGAUUUGUUUUGUUUCACAAGACCAGAAUAUCUUGAAACUUUUUCAGCAAUUUAUUUGUGUAUAGAGGUGAGGGUUGAUCAUAUGGCUAUUGCUUUGUUAAGGACUUAAAAAUCACCAAUUGUUGACACUGUACAAUUUCUUCCACAAAAUCGACAUGUACUAUUUUCCUCAUCAAUAUAUAUCACAGAAUGUUACUUGAAACAUUGGGACCUAAACGCCUUGUGGUUUUCAAUCUUAUAGUUAAUACUCUCGCUUAGUGGAGUCUGGAGAGUGAAUCGCAUGAAGAAAAGGUAUUAUGUGGAUUCGUACA